AUACGGAGGGUGCAAGCGUUAUUCGGAAUCACUGGGCGUAAAGGACGCGUAGGCGGGUUGGCAAGUCAGAUGUAAAAUCCUACAGCUUAACUGUAGAACUGCAUUUGAAACUGCUAACCUAGAGUAUGGGAGGGGGAGAUGGAAUUAGUGGUGUAGGGGUAAAAUCCGUAGAUAUCACUAGGAAUACCGAAAGCGAAGGCGAUCCCCUGGAACAUAACUGACGCUAAGGCGUGAAAGCGUGGGGAGCAAACAGGAUUAGAAACCCUAGUAGUCC
rnacentral:rRNA from 1 species